CCUCCGGGGGGCAGCAGUGAGGAAUAUUGGUCAAUGGGCGGAAGCCUGAACCAGCCAAUUCUCGUUCUUUCCUCAGUCCCUACGUGUCGUAAACCUCUUUUGCCGGGGAGCAAGGGCGGGGACGUGUCCCGGCCCGGAGAGUACCCGGAGAAAAAGCAUCGGCUAACUCCGUGCCAGCAGCCGCGGGAAUACGGAGGAUGCGGGGGUUAUCCGGAUUUAUUGGGGUUAAAGGGUGCGUAGGCGGG
rnacentral:rRNA from 1 species